GUCCUUUCGGGGACAUCUGAUAAAAUUAGAACAAUACAAAGAAGAUUAGCAUGGACCCUGCACAAGAAUGACGCGCUAAUCGAAAAAUGGUCCAAUUAAGAU